rnacentral:rRNA from 1 species
ACGCGUGAAACCUUACCAGGUCUUGACAUCCCAUUGACCGCUAUGGAGACAUAGCUUUCCCUUCGGGGACAGUGGUGACAGGUGGUGCAUGGUUGUCGUCAGCUCGUGUCGUGAGAUGUUGGGUUAAGUCCCGCAACGAGCGCAACCCUUGUUCUUAGUUGCCAUCAUUUAGUUGGGCACUCUAAGGAGACUGCCGGUGACAAACCGGAGGAAGGUGGGGAUGACGUCAAAUCAUCAUGCCCCUUAUGACCUGGGCUACACACGUGCUACAAUGGACGGUACAAACGGUUGCCAACCCGCGAGGGGGAGCUAAUCCGAUAAAACCGUUCUCAGUUCGGAUUGUAGGCUGCAACUCGCCUACAUGAAGCCGGAAUCGCUAGUAAUCGCGGAUCAGCAUGCCGCGGUGAAUACGUUCCCGGGCCUUGCACACACCGCCCGU